AACCUCCGCAAUGUGAGAAAUCGCGACGGGGGGAUCCCAAGUGCCAUUCUUAACGGGAUGGCUUUUCUUAAGUGUAAAAAGCUUUUGGAAUAAGAGCUGGGCAAGACCGGUGCCAGCCGCCGCGGUAACACCGGCAGCUCUAGUGGUAGCUGUUUUUAUUGGGCCUAAAGCGUUCGUAGCCGGUUUGAUAAGUCACUGGUGAAAUCCUGUAGCUUAACUGUGGGAAUUGCUGGUGAUACUGUUGAACUUGAGGUCGGGAGAGGUUAGCGGUACUCCCAGGGUAGAGGUGAAAUUCUGUAAUCCUGGGAGGACCGCCUGUUGCGAAGGCGCCUAACUGGAACGGUUCUGACGGUGAGGGACGAAAGUUGGGGGCGCGAACCGGAUUAGAUACCCGAGUAGUCCUAACUGUAAACGAUGCGGACUUGGUGUUGGGGUGGCUUUGAGCUGCUCCAGUGCCGAAGGGAAGCUGUAAGUCCGCCGCCUGGGAAGUACGGUCGCAAGACUGAAACUUAAAGGAAUU
rnacentral:rRNA from 1 species